AACUGAAGAGAUAAAGCACCAGAUUCCCAUCAAUGCCGGAUCCUACUUUGAGCUCAUCAUUAAAACAUGCAAUGAAUAUUUCCAGGUCUCUGUGGACGGGCAGCAUUUCCUGGAGUUCGGACACAAGAUUCCCUUUAAGGGAGUCGACACCCUGAAGAUUGCCGAAGAUGUUCAUGUGAAUGCCAUCACCUUCAAAGAACCAGACGUGGAUUAGAAAGAAGAUUUGAUGUGUCGGCAAAAGACUUUUAUGCACCUCUUCAACUGCAACCACAGGCUGGAGCCCCUGAACCAGAUUGAUCAACUGGAAGUCAUUCAUGACAUCAGCCUUUCUCUUGUGCCUUACUAAUGUUUUGAAGUAAACAAUCUGCUUAAUCCAGAAAACAAAAUCAGCAUAAUCUUCCCAAAUUCUCAUUUUUAACCCUCUACUUUUUUGGUGAUCAAUCCUGUAGAUUGGUUAUUGCAUGUGAACCAAUCAGAGUCGUGUAGCAUCAUUAACCCCACCUUACUGUACGCUUUAUAUUAACACCCACUUCCUACAUUAAGCAGUCUUGGAAGCGGUAUUGAUGAACUAACAACUUGCUG